AAGAAAGAUCUGUGGGAAAUUGGCAGCAAAGAGAUGAUAAGCUUUUGAAAAUCUUUAAAAUGAUGGAAUUGAAGAAGGAAUGCACCAAAGCAUUAUACAACUGGGAAAACUUUCUCAUCCCUAUGAUAAAUUCCAAGUAGCACCUAAGACAUUAAUGCACAUUCUACAGGCAGCAUAUCUGACUAACAUUUUCUUGAGAGAAUACCUUUUGGUUUUUAAAUACCUCAACUCUACACAAUGUUUAUGUUCCUUGGUGCAAGAUUUUUUCUGCCAAAGUUUAUAUAAGAACAGUGUAAAUAUUUUAAUGCAAUUAUAAGUGGGCUAAAUCUCUAGUAACAUUUCAAGCACAAUGAAUGAAGAAACAGAAUCAUGUGUACUUUGAAAAGGAUACUGAGGGUCAAUAAAGGGGUCCCGGCUAUUGGUCAUACAUGUUACUGGUGCAAAAAGAGCCUCAGUGGACCAUGACAUUUCAUACAAAAAAACAGGUUUUUAGGAAACAUAUUAAUCAUCUACCAAUCAAGGAGUUAACUUUUAAAGAAUUUUUUAUCUUAGCAUGAUAUUUUGCCAUUUAUAUAUAGAUGUUUAUAUGUUUGUUACAGAGUUGGUUGAGGGUUUGUGGUGAACACCUACUAUAUUAGAUUUCUAAAUACAAAUAAUGAGAUACAAGCUUACAGCUAUAAUUUUUUUUUUUACUAAAGUCAGAUUUUCAGAGAAUAACUGGAGCUGGAUUCAUUUGGAAGAAUGAUUAUUACUUUUAUCAUCCUCCUCUGCCACCAUCAUAUUCUACAUUGGAAUGUAUUGGUCAUUUUCAUUAGUUUGGGACAAGGGGUAAAAUCAAGAGAUAAGAUGGGCGGUCCAGAGGAGGAAUCCUCAGUCUACUCUUAUCUACUGCUUUCUUCUUCUGUGAAUCUCUCCUCAAAUGUCCACAUUAUUCUACAUUGGAAUGUAUUGGUCAUUUUCAUUAGUUUGGGACAAGGGGUAAAAUCAAGAGAUAAGAUGGGCGGUCCAGAGGAGGAAUCCUCAGUCUACUCUUAUCUACUGCUUUCUUCUUCUGUGAAUCUCUCCUCAAAUGUCCACAUUAUUCCCAUGUAA
rnacentral:lncRNA from 1 species